rnacentral:rRNA from 1 species
UACGUAGGGCGCAAGCGUUGUCCGGAAUUAUUGGGCGUAAAGAGCUCGUAGGCGGCUUGUCACGUCGGGUGUGAAAGCCCGGGGCUUAACCCCGGGUCUGCAUUCGAUACGGGCUAGCUAGAGUGUGGUAGGGGAGAUCGGAAUUCCUGGUGUAGCGGUGAAAUGCGCAGAUAUCAGGAGGAACACCGGUGGCGAAGGCGGAUCUCUGGGCCAUUACUGACGCUGAGGAGCGAAAGCAUGGGUAGCGAACAGG